rnacentral:sRNA from 10 species
CAACGAAAUAAAUCUCUUUCGGGAUUUGUGAAAUGCCCUGCGGGCGUGAAAUACGCCUGCAGCGUGUGAAAUCGCUG